GACGAACGCUGGCGGCGUGCCUAAUACAUGCAAGUCGAACGAGUUUCAUUUUAAGGAUCAAGGUGCUUGCACCGAGAGAAUUAAAAAGAAACGAGUGGCGGACGGGUGAGUAACACGUGGGUAACCUACCCUAAAGUGGGGGAUAACAUUUGGAAACAGAUGCUAAUACCGCAUAACGAACGAAACCACAUGGUUUCGUUCUGAAAGAUGGCGUAAGCUAUCACUUUUGGAUGGACCCGCGGCGUAUUAGCUAGUUGGUGAGGUAACGGCUCACCAAGGCGAUGAUACGUAGCCGACCUGAGAGGGUGAUCGGCCACAUUGGGACUGAGACACGGCCCAAACUCCUACGGGAGGCAGCAGUAGGGAAUCUUCCACAAUGGACGAAAGUCUGAUGGAGCAACGCCGCGUGAGUGAAGAAGGUUUUCGGAUCGUAAAACUCUGUUAUCGGAGAAGAACGUAUCUGGUAGUAACUGGCCAGGUAGUGACGGUAUCCGAUCAGAAAGCCACGGCUAACUACGUGCCAGCAGCCGCGGUAAUACGUAGGUGGCAAGCGUUGUCCGGAUUUAUUGGGCGUAAAGCGAGUGCAGGCGGUUUUUUAAGUCUGAUGUGAAAGCCUUCGGCUUAACCGAAGAAAUGCAUUGGAAACUGGGGAACUUGAGUGCAGAAGAGGAGAGUGGAACUCCAUGUGUAGCGGUGAAAUGCGUAGAUAUAUGGAAGAACACCAGUGGCGAAGGCGGCUCUCUGGUCUGUAACUGACGCUGAGGCUCGAAAGCGUGGGUAGCAAACAGGAUUAGAUACCCUGGUAGUCCACGCCGUAAACGAUGAGUGCUAAGUGUUGGGGGGUUUCCGCCCCUCAGUGCUGCAGCUAACGCAUUAAGCACUCCGCCUGGGGAGUACGACCGCAAGGUUGAAACUCAAAGGAAUUGACGGGGCCCCGCACAAGCGGUGGAGCAUGUGGUUUAAUUCGAAGCAACGCGAAGACCUUACCAGGUCUUGACAUCUAGCGCCAAUCCUAGAGAUAGGACGUUCCCUUCGGGGACGCUAAGACAGGUGGUGCAUGGUUGUCGUCAGCUCGUGUCGUGAGAUGUUGGGUUAAGUCCCGCAACGAGCGCAACCCUUAUGAUUAGUUGCCAGCAUUAAGUUGGGCACUCUAGUCAGACUGCCGGUGACAAACCGGAGGAAGGCGGGGAUGACGUCAAAUCAUCAUGCCCCUUAUGACCUGGGCUACACACGUGCUACAAUGGCUAGUACAACGAGUUGCGAGACCGCGAGGUCAAGCUAAUCUCUAAAAGCUAGUCUCAGUUCGGAUUGUAGGCUGCAACUCGCCUACAUGAAGUUGGAAUCGCUAGUAAUCGCGGAUCAGCACGCCGCGGUGAAUACGUUCCCGGGCCUUGUACACACCGCCCGUCACACCAUGAGAGUUUGUAACACCCAAAGCCGGUGAGGUAACCCGUAAGGGAGCUAGCCGUCUAAGGUGGGACAGAUGAUUAGGGUGAAGUCGUAACAAGGUAGCCGUAGGAGAACCUGC
rnacentral:rRNA from 2 species